CUACACAACACUCCUCACUCUCUCUAACACACUUCUCUUCAUUUCUCGCCGCCGGUACUACCACCAUGCCGAUCAGAAACAUCGCCGUAGGCCAAGUCGGUGAGGCCACUCAUCCCGACGCCCUCAAGGCAGGGUUGGCCGAGUUCUUCUCCACCCUAAUCUUCGUCUUCGCCGGAGAAGGUUCAGGCAUGGCCUUUGCCAAGCUCACCGACGGCGCAGCCAACACCCCCUCCGGCCUUAUUGCCGCCUCCAUCGCCCACGCCUUCGCACUGUUUGUUGCUGUUUCAGUUGGCGCCAACAUCUCCGGAGGCCACGUCAACCCCGCUGUCACCUU
rnacentral:lncRNA from 1 species